rnacentral:lncRNA from 1 species
CAGCGGGUCGCGCCCAGAACCACGCCCGGCCUGCCGGUCGCUUGAGAGCAGUACCCUCUGGAAAGGUGGGGAGGAUGCGGCGAGGCCCGCGCAGGAGACCGUGGGCAGCCAUUGUGGCGUGCUCCCGCAACUGUUUACGUGAGGCCGAGCGCGCCUCUUGGUGGGGCUGACUCCAGUUGAUGAGAGGGGAGCCUUGACUCCGUGAUACCCCGGAACCUCCUCGGGAUGCCCUAUAGAGAGGCAGACGGCGUGCGUCUCCAGCGUGGUGGGACUGCGGGCCAAAUGCUUGCGCUUAACACUUCUUCCAGGAUAAUUUCAUACAAAACUUACCUGUGGCCAACCAAAACACACUAAGAAGAUAGAAGUAAAACUUUGCCUCCCCUACAGUUUCUGGUGAUGAGUUUUGGAUUUCAGUAGUUGGGACAUUGAGAGAUCCAGGGACAUCUGACAGAAAGCCAGCAGAAGCAUUGGUCAAGAUGGCAAAAAAAGAUGAACAUAAUAAAAUAUAAGUGCAAUGAGAGGAGUCACUAGAACAUCUGUGGAAGCACAAAGGAGAAACUGCCUAGGAGUCAAGAAACACUUCACAGAGAAGGAAGGUGCUCGGCAUGGCUCUACUGACUUGACUCACCAACACAUUGCAGUUUUCAAUAUAGGAUUUGGUGAACUUUGAGUGGUAAGGAAAAUCUCUCGAUUACAAUAAGAUGGGAUUAAGAUGGCAGAAUAGAAGGACUGGAGCUCAAGUUCUCUCCUAAAAACAACAAAAUUUACAACCAAAUGCUGAGCAAUCUUCAACCAAAUGCACCGGAAACUUUCAAAAAGAUAGCCUACUCCAGACGACAAAGAGGAGGCCACAUCAAGAGGUGGGAGGGGUUAUUACGUGGUGAAAGCAACCCCACACCUCCUGGAUGGGAAGCCCCACAGACUGGAAACUAACUGGUUCACAGAGACUCACCUACAGGAGUGAGAGUUCUGAGCCUCACAUCAAACUCCCAUGUAUGGGGAUCUGGCACUGGAAGAAAGCCCCCAGAGCAUCUGGCAUUCAAGGCCAGUGGGGCUUGUGUGCAGGAGCCCCACAGGACUGGGGGAAAUGGAGACCCCAUUCUUAAAAGGCUCACACAGACCUUCACAUGCACUGGGUCCUAGAGCAAAGCAAAAUCUCCAUAGGAAUCUGGGUCAAAUCUGACUGCAGUUCUUGGAGGACUUCCUGGGAAAACAGGGGUGGACGUGGCUUGUUGUGAGGGAAGGACAUUGGAAGCAAAGCUCUCAGGAAUAUUCAGCAGUGGUGCCUUUCUCUGGAGGUGGCCAUUUUGGGAAAAUCUGGCCCCACCCAUCAGCACUGAGAAGGCCCAGGGCAAACAACAAUCCAGGUGGGAUCACAUAUCUGCCCAUCAGUAAACAGGCUGCCUAAAGAUCCCCCAAGCACACAGUCAUCUCUAAUCUCACCCAGAGACAAAGCCCCACCCACCAUAGGGACAGGAAUCAGCUCCACCUACCAGUGUGCAGGCAUCAGUCCCUCCCAUCAGGAAGCCUAUAGCAAGCCCCCAUACCAAUUUCAGCCACAAGGGGGGCAGACAUCAGAAGUACGAGAGGCUAUAACUCCAUUAUCUGUUAAAAGGUCACCACACCAAAAACCCAUGAAAAUGAAAAAACGGAGAACUAUAAAUCAGAUGAAGGAGAAAGAAAAAAACCCAGAAAAACAGCUAAGUGAGCAGGAGAUUCUCAGCCUCCAGGAAAAAGACUUUAGACUGUUGAUGCUGAAGAUGAUGCAAGACAUUGGAAAUAAACUGGAGGCAAAGAUGGAUAAUUUUAUAGGGAACACUGAGCAAAGAGAUACAAGAUAUAAAACUUAAACAAGAA